UCCCGUUUAGCUCAGUGGUAGAGCGCUUCACUAGUACAUGUUGCGAAAUGAAGAGGCCACUCGUUCGAGUCGGGUAAUGGGAA